GAAUUUGCUUACGUGCUUCUACGAAAGAUCAAACAGGGGAACUUAGCAUACUUAUGUGCCACUUAGUUUAAUCUUUUACUGGCAAAGCUUUAUUUAUUCCUUAUACGCUCAUCGUUAUGGUUCUCUCUUAUGCGAUCCAGGCUCUGUAUGUUCAAAUAUAUUUGCUUAGCAUGGUCUGUGGCUUUACUAAUCCCUGAAUUAUAAGCACUACAUGUAGCUACACAUCUUUUAUGUACAUUUUUAU
rnacentral:misc_RNA from 1 species